UGCUCACUUUGCUUAGCAUCAGUUCAUCUCCAUCUCAUAAGCUAAUCUCAGCUUGGCUGGAUUGCUGCCUCACUGGGAGAAGGCCAAGGACACACACAGGUGCUGCCGGUUGCAAAACAGACAUCAGUGCAUGUAGCUUGCUUUCCAGUAAGUUAAUAGUGAAAGGACUCCUGGCACCAUCUACAACACUAUUAUUCUGGUGCAACAACAUUCCAGUGAGGUAGGUACUCCAGAUAUCAUUAUCUCCAUUGCAAAGAAGAGAAAUUUGAAGUGAAGUAAGUUUUACAUGAUCGUACAGUUAAUAAGUAUCAAGAGCACAUUUGAAUCCAAUAUAACUCCUAAUUUCCAGCAUUUUGUAAUUCUAUGUCAAACCUCAUACAACAUAA